AUGGGAGACCAGCACAGAGACCUUGGGGGCACGCCUCGCCCAGGCUCCAGCCGGAGGCUCCGCCCCAGGCCAUGGCCUUCCACUUGCUCACGUGACCACGCCACAGGCAUGCAGAGAGGCAGGCUGAGCUCUGCCAGGCCAGCAGGGUCCGUGCCAGGCCUGGUGGACUUCGAGGACAAGGAGCAGGUGAAGGCAUUUCUGGAGAACGUGGUGGAGUGCAAGUACCAGUGCUACUGUGAGAAGGACCCGAAUGGACAGAAAGUUAUCCUAAGCUCAAUAGUUCUGAGAAAGGCUUCAUCUAGGAGCAUUCCCUCUGUUUCUUAGAAGUUUGAAUUUGGGAGACAGGUUGACAAUCUGGGGGAAAAAAAAGACGAAGCGAAAGGAACAGCAUGCUCAGGAGGGCACACACCACGCCAGUUCCCUUGCUUCUAAUGGUUAUCACGUACCAACCCAAGUGGCUGCCGCCUUAUUAAUCAUCAUGUAUGUAUUUAGUAGAGAUAUGAACUACAACUGAUACUUAAAGUACUGAAGCAAUAUGUUUUAGAAGUUACAUAUUUUAGAAAACUAUCAUAAUUAUUCAAGGGAAAAAGGUUUAGCUUUUAUGUGGGCUCUAUUUGAUAAUGAUUUUUACCCCCAUUUGACAUCUCAUGUAACAAUGUACAGUGAUAGUAACUAAAUUUACUGUGGUAACCAUUUUGCAAUAUAUAUAUACAGCAAAUCAUUAUGUUGUACAUAUAAAAAGUAUUACAGUGGUACAUGUCAAUGAUGUCGCAAUUAGAAAAACUUUGAUUUAAACAUAGAACAUUGACAUGAGAAUCUUAAAGAAGAAUCAGACUGGACCAUAGAAAUAAGCCCACUUAUUUAUUAUCUACAGAUUUAUAGAAACGUUUAAUUUUUUUUUGAGGUUUAGUGGAUCUGUUUCUAUUCGCAGUGCUGAAAACCCUUCAACUAUCUCACUGUUUGCUAGCAGGUGAACUUGUAUACUCUUGUUUUUCUUCUGGAUUCAUGAAAAGCUCUACUACUAUGAGAAGUAGAACCCUGUGCCCAUCCUCCACAGCACAGCAGUCUUGGCUGAUGAUGUAAGUGUGCCUUUCGGAGCUCCCUGCCACCCGGCUCCCUUGGGCCCGGUCCUGAGCAGAGCUCUUCCUGGCGCAGACACAAGUGUGAGAUCCUGGGAGUGAAAACCAGAAGCCGCUGCAAAUGUUUCCAAAAGUCCUGUCACCGAGGACCUUAUGCGGAUACUGUGUUUUAUGCGGAUGCUUAUUAUUUAUGUGUUUUAUGCGGCUUUUGAUUUGCAUUCACUCUCCUGCUCAAAAAAUUGUGCGUGGGGAUGUCCUCUGUUCUACCUGGGUGGCUACAGUAGCAGAAGUCUGAGGCUAGAACUCUCUGGGCAGAGAGAAACUGUCAGCUACUAGUGUUCUGAGAAAGGCACAGGCAGGAGGAAUGCUUUGGAGAAAUAAAGACAAAUGAGCUAGGUCUGUUGCUGACA
rnacentral:lncRNA from 12 species